UAGGGAAUCUUCCGCAAUGGACGAAAGUCUGACGGAGCAACGCCGCGUGAGUGAAGAAGGAUUUCGGUUCGUAAAACUCUGUUGUUAGGGAAGAAAAAAUGUAUAGUAACUAUAUACAAAAGAGACGGUACCUAACCAGAAAGCCACGGCUAACUACGUGCCAGCAGCCGCGGUAAUACGUAGGUGGCAAGCGUUGUCCGGAAUUAUUGGGCGUAAAGCGCGCGCAGGCGGUCACUUAAGUCCAUCUUAGAAGAGCGGGGCUUAACCCCGUGAUGGGAUGGAAACUGAGAGACUGGAGUAUCGGAGAGGAAAGUGGAAUUCCUAGUGUAGCGGUGAAAUGCGUAGAUAUUAGGAAGAACACCGGUGGCGAAGGCGACUUUCUGGACGAAAACUGACGCUGAGGCGCGAAAGCGUGGGGAGCAAACAGG
rnacentral:rRNA from 1 species